GAUGAACGCUGGCGGUCUGCUUAACACAUGCAAGUCGAACGGAAGUAGCAAUACUUUAGUGGCGGACGGGUGAGUAACACGUAAGAAUCUGCCUCCAGGACGGGAAAAACAGUUGGAAACGACUGCUAAUUCCGGAUGAGCCGAAAGGUAAAAAGAAAUUCGCCUGGAGAUGAGCUUGCGGCUGAUUAGCUAGUUGGUAGGGUAAGAGCCUACCAAGGCGACGAUCAGUAGCUGGUCUGAGAGGAUGAGCAGCCACACUGGGACUGAGACACGGCCCAGACUCCUACGGGAGGCAGCAGUGGGGAAUUUUCCGCAAUGGGCGAAAGCCUGACGGAGCAAGACCGCGUGGGGGAGGAAGGUUCUUGGAUUGUCAACCCCUUUUCUCAAGGAAGAAGAUCUGACGGUACUUGAGGAAUCAGCAUCGGCUAACUCCGUGCCAGCCGCCGCCGUAA
rnacentral:rRNA from 1 species